AGUGAACGCUGGCGGUAGGCCUAACACAUACAAGUCGAACGGCAGCACAGUAAGAGCUUGCUCUUACGGGUGGCGAGUGGCGGACGGGUGAGGAAUACAUCGGAAUCUACUUUUUCGUGGGGGAUAACGUAGGGAAACUUACGCUAAUACCGCAUACGACCUACGGGUGAAAGCAGGGGAUCUUCGGACCUUGCGCGAUUGAAUGAGCCGAUGUCGGAUUAGCUAGUUGGCGGGGUAAAGGCCCACCAAGGCGACGAUCCGUAGCUGGUCUGAGAGGAUGAUAAGCCACACUGGAACUGAGACACGAUCCAGACUCCUACGGGAGGCAGCAGUGGGGAAUAUUGGACAAUGGGCGCAAGCCUGAUCCAGCCAUACCGCGUGGGUGAAGAAGGCCUUCGGGUUGUAAAGCCCUUUUGUUGGGAAAGAAAAGCAGCAGGUUAAUACCCCGCUGUUCUGACGGUACCCAAAGAAUAAGCACCGGCUAACUUCGUG
rnacentral:rRNA from 1 species